GAUUAGCUUGUAGACAUAGCAUCAAUGUUUACUUGUCUCUGUGGGUGAAUGAUCAGAUAAUGGCAGAGCAACCUCUUUUGUGAAAUUGUUUAAACUUCUUUCAAAUAAGUGUUGGUAUCCCAUGCUGGUAUUAAAAAAAAAUAUAAUGUUUGUUAUACAUGCUAAUUUUACUACAUACAGACUUCUGGCUUAGUGCUCGUUAAAUAUUCAGAGGGCUGGCAGUAGUUUGGUAUCUCACUUCUGAGACUUCGGAGGAGAGGAACUGAAAAUAAGCUUAAUUCGGCAAAAGACUAGACAAUGGUAAAUUAGUUUAAUUUUGCAGCUUACUUCUUAAUAUCAGCAGAAUACAGCUUGAUACCAUAAUUUAUACUAUGACUGUAUGGCGUUUUGGUUUACCUUGAAAAGUUUAGGUCCUGAAACGUAGAAUUAAGAGUAAAAUGUGUGAGAAACAAAGACCAUCUUGGCCAAAGUCGAAUCUAUUGCUGUGACAAGAAUUAAUGUUAUAGAUUUUUAUUUUACAAAGUCAAAAAUAGUGUCGUAUCAGUCAGUAUGACUCUGCAUCAAUGCACUAAAGCUCUCCCAGAGCCCCCUCUGAACUUACUUGGACUGCCAGAUCACGCAACUGUAUUCUUGUAAUGUUAGUUUCUCACUGUGGAACCCAUCUGAUCAAAAAAGAUUCAAACCCAAUAAUUUAAAUACAGAGUUGGUUUCCCAAUCGCAGUGCGUUGAGCAAAAGCUAGGGAAGGAGAGACCUACUAGUAGGGCAAGGGCUGCUCUUCAGCUAGCGCAGGAGCUACGACAGCACGGACAGGCUGAAGUUCUGCUGCCGUUUUAACUACAAUACAGACGUUUUCCCCGUACUCACUCGUAUUUAUUUACCUGUUGGUUCUGCAGAAUUUGUAAGCAUUGCGUUUAAGAGCCGCCAGCCAGGUCAUCUUUCACCAUCAGAUGUCAGCGAGCCCCGGAGACCUGGAGUUUCCAGCAUAUUCCUGCAUAUAUGGAAGAACAAAUUGAAUUCACUGUUUGUAUUUAUCAAAUAAUGCUGUGCUGCUUGUAUUCUCACUUCAGAAGUUGCCUUGCUCUGCCCAAGUUAUGAUGUGUCCGCUAAAUGGUAGGGAUAAUGCAAAAAUCUUUCAAGCCAUUAUCUGUCUUUUGGAGACUUAAAUGUUCUCUUGGGUUAAAUUAAGCUGAAAUCUUUUGUUUUCCCCUUCCUGAAACUUAUUCAAGAGAAAAUAGCAGAUAGCUCUGUGUAAACAUUAAUACCCAUUUUAGAGGAAGACACUAUAGAAUGGCUGUAUAGAAAAGCACAUGAGCUGAAAUACUGUGAUGAUAGGGUUUACAGCAUAAAAUAUGGCUAAUUUCUCUUAUAUGACUACAGGUGGCAGUGUAGAAGCCAAGAACAAAAAUUGGCAGAAAUCCUUUUCUGUGUAUGAGAAAAUGAAGAGAGUGUACUCAUGACUAAGCACAGGAACCUGAAAAACCACAGGUAUGUGAAGUGAUUCAUACAGCUACCUAUGGUGCUCCCAGUAUUUACUGUAUUUCUGACAUUCCUGGCUCAUAGGUAUUUCUGGACCAAUUAUCACUUAAUGUGUUC
ensembl:lncRNA